UACGAAGGGGGGCUAGCGUUGUUCGGAAUUACUGGGCGUAAAGCGCGCGCAGGCGGCUAUCCAAGUCAGUGGUGAAAGCCCGGAGCUCAACUCCGGAACUGCCAUUGAAACUGUUUAGCUUGAGGACGAGAGAGGUGAGUGGAAUUCCCAGUGUAGAGGUGAAAUUCGUAGAUAUUGGGAAGAACACCGGUGGCGAAGGCGGCUCACUGGCUCGUAUCUGACGCUCAGGCGCGACAGCGUGGGGAUCAAACAGG
rnacentral:rRNA from 1 species